UACGGAGGGAGCUAGCGUUGUUCGGAAUUACUGGGCGUAAAGCGCACGUAGGCGGCUUUGUAAGUUAGAGGUGAAAGCCCGGGGCUCAACCCCGGAAUUGCCUUUAAGACUGCAUCGCUUGAAUCCAGGAGAGGUGAGUGGAAUUCCGAGUGUAGAGGUGAAAUUCGUAGAUAUUCGGAAGAACACCAGUGGCGAAGGCGGCUCACUGGAGCUGGUAUCGACGCUGAGGUGCGAAAGCGUGGGGAGCAAACAGGGAUUAAGAAACCCC
rnacentral:rRNA from 1 species